CCUACGGGAGGCAGCAGUGGGGGAUAUUGCACAAUGGGGGAAACCCUGAUGCAGCGACGCCGCGUGGGUGAAGAAGCGCCUCGGCGCGUAAAGCCCUGUCAGCAGGGAAGAAAAUGACGGUACCUGAAGAAGAAGCCCCGGCUACUACGUGCCAGCAGCCGCGGCAAUACGUAGGGGGCAAGCGUUAUCCGGAUUUACUGGGUGUAAAGGGGGCGCAGACGGCGAUGCAAACCAGGAGUGAAAGCCCGGGGCCCAACCCCGGGACUGCUCUUGGAACUGCGUGGCUAGAGUGCAGGAGGGGCAGG
rnacentral:rRNA from 1 species